rnacentral:misc_RNA from 1 species
GGCCAACUCAUCAAAUCAUUUGUAGUUCAUUGUCACUGUGAAUACAGAAAAUUCAACUGAUUAGAUAUUUUCUCCUUUCUAUCUACAGCAAAGACUACCUGGGAUAAAAAACAAUGCAAUACACUUGUCAUUAAUGACUCUUAUGAGCCAAGUUACUAAAUCUGGGAUUCUCCCGUUCCUCCAAAUCGCUACAGCAGGUAGAUUCUUCGAUUCCUUCAAAUCUGAAAUUCAUUGAAUUGUUUCUCUAGUCUC